AGAGUUUGAUCAUGGCUCAGGAUGAACGCUAGCUACAGGCUUAACACAUGCAAGUCGAGGGGAAACGACAUCGAAAGCUUGCUUUUGAUGGGCGUCGACCGGCGCACGGGUGAGUAACGCGUAUCCAACCUGUCCACCACUUGGGGAUAACCUUGCGAAAGUAAGACUAAUACCCAAUGACGUCUCUAGAAGACAUCUGAAGGAGAUUAAAGAUUUAUCGGUGAUGGAUGGGGAUGCGUCUGAUUAGCUUGGUUGGCGGGGUAACGGCCCACCGAAGGCGACGAUCAGUAGGGGUUCUGAGAGGAAGGUCCCCCANAUUGGAACUGAGACACGGUCCAAACUCCGUACGGGAGCA
rnacentral:rRNA from 1 species